rnacentral:rRNA from 1 species
GAGUUUGAUCAUGGCUCAGGAUGAACGCUAGCGAUAGGCUUAACACAUGCAAGUCGAGGGGCAGCGAGGGUAGCAAUACCUGUCGGCGACCGGCGCACGGGUGAGUAACGCGUAUGUAACCUGCCCGCAACAGGGGGAUAACCCGGCGAAAGUCGGACUAAUACCGCAUAAAACAGGGGUCCCGCAUGGGAAUAUUUGUUAAAGAUUUAUCGGUUGCGGAUGGGCAUGCGUACCAUUAGGUAGUUGGUGAGGUAACGGCUCACCAAGCCUUCGAUGGUUAGGGGUUCUGAGAGGAAGGUCCCCCACACUGGUACUGAGACACGGACCAGACUCCUACGGGAGGCAGCAGUGAGGAAUAUUGGUCAAUGGGCGAGAGCCUGAACCAGCCAAGUCGCGUGAAGGAUGACUGCCCUAUGGGUUGUAAACUUCUUUUACAAGGGAAUAAAAUGAGAUANCGUGUAUUUUAUUGCAUGACC